UGGGGAAUCUUGCGCAAUGCGCGAAAGCGUGACGCAGCAACGCCGCGUGAGGGAAGAAGGCCUUAGGGUUGUAAACCUCUUUCAGGAGGGACGAAGGUCGGCACGUUAAUAGCGUGUCCGAUUGACGGUACCUCCACAAGAAGCCCCGGCUAACUACGUGCCAGCAGCCGCGGUAAUACGUAGGGGGCAAGCGUUGUCCGGAAUUAUUGGGCGUAAAGAGCGUGUAGGCGGUCCGGUAAGUCAGCUGUGAAAGUCAAGGGCUCAACCCUUGAAAGCCGGUUGAUACUGUCGGGCUAGAGUCCGGAAGAGGCGAGUGGAAUUCCCGGUGUAGCGGUGAAAUGCGCAGAUAUCGGGAGGAACACCAAUGGCGAAGGCAGCUCGCUGGGACGGUACUGACGCUGAGACGCGAAAGCGUGGGGAGCAAACAGGAUUAGAUACCCUGGUAGUCCACGCCGUAAACGAUGGGCACUAGGUGUUGGGGGUGUCGACUCCCCCGGCGCCGUAGCUAACGCAUUAAGU
rnacentral:rRNA from 1 species